ACGCUCACUCAGCCGCCGAGCUCCUCAGCGUCUCGGGCCCGCGACCGCUGCCGCGAGGAGCGUGGGGCACCGGGACUUGGGGUCUCGCGGUUCCCCGGAAUGCAAGAGACACGCCUAUCUCUGGGCCGCGCGGUCGCGGCUCUCCAAGCUGGGCCGCCCCAGCCCCAGCCUGCCCGCCCGCUCCUCGGGAACCAGCCCCUCAGGCGCGGGACCCCGCGCUGGGUCUACUCUUCGCUUUCGCGUGGCGGCCGCCAGGUGGCGCCGAAGGCAGCCGCUCCAGCCUCGGAAACAGGGAUGGUCCAUCAAGGCCUUGAGGGUGAUGGGGGCUUGCCCCCCUGUCUCUCCAAAACGGGCUGUGCCACGCAGGCACCUCAUCAGACUUCUCUGGUCGUGAGGUCCUAGGCCCAGACCACAGACAUAAGGGAGGUCAGGAACAGCUUAUACCCUGAGGUGGUCAUAAACCAGUGAUAGCUUAGAAGGUGAAAGGGCUGUUCUAGAAGCUGGCCCAGCAGAGAUCUCCUCUGCUGGCUUCUGCUCGCUUUGCAGUGGCAUCAGUGGGGCAAUAACUGUUGGGGGAUCCAUGGCAGCAGCGGACCACUCCAGAGAGCCAGGAUUAAGGGUGCAGGUGUCAGGAGAUCCACAGCGUCCUGGAGCAAGCCCUGGACGGGGUUCUCACUCAGAGUUCUGCCGACUGGUGGGGAGACCUCUGGAGGGACAACACUGCUCGUCUUGGCUUCAGUUUCCCCACGUCCAAAAUGGUGGAUUGGACUUGAAGGUUACCAGCCAGCCACCGAGAGCCAUCCCAAAGCAGUUUCCUUGAAUGACCUUGGCUGCGACCCAGGGACACCAAGCAUCAAACCCAGGAGUUGGUUGCAGAGCCUGGAAGGACCUGUCUGGGCUGGCUGCAGGAUUAACUUUGUGGCCGACGGUCCAGCAGCUAGAGCCCCAAGAGAACACUGUGAACCAAGCAUCCUACAAGGUCAAGCUCUGCAAUCUGUGAAUUCUGCUUCCGGGUGAAUCAAACCAGAGCCGAGGGGGAGGGGAAACAGCAACCGGGAACCGGAAAAUGGGCCCGUUGCCUUGAUGACUAAGGCGAACAUGUGAAGACUUGCACUCUGCAGGCUUUGUUGGAACACCUGCAAGGGAGGUUUUGGAAUUGUUUGGGUGAGGUGUGUGUUAUCCCAGAAGCUGUUUGGUAAGAUGCAAGACUCUCCAACCCCUAAGUAUGUGAGAGAGAUGCAAGGUUUUGUAAGGAUUUGGUAGGUUUAGGGGACUUUUAUUUUAUUGGCUCAGUGCCUCCAUCCCUAUGCUGCCAGGUAAGCAAAGGCAUGUGUGGGACAGGGAAAUCAGCAGCAGGGCACAUUUUUUUUCUCUUUAGGGCUGCACCUGUGGCAUAUGGAAGUUCCCAGGCUAGGGGUCGAAUCAGAGCUGUAGCUGAGGCCUACACCACAGCUCACAGCAAUGCCGGAUCCUUAAUCCACCAAGCAAGGCCAGGGAUCAAACCCCCAUCCUCAUGGAUACGAUGUUGGGUUCUUAACCUGCUGAGCCACAACAGGAACUCCAGAAAGCACUUUUGAGAAGGCAAAAUACUAGUAAAGUAGCUCUAAAUAUCCCACAAGCAGGGCUGUCAUCUGAGUUAGAUGUGUCCGUGACUCCAGAAAGUAUGGCUCAGACACUGGCAGAGGUAGAAGGGGAGAGUGCCCCUAGGAUUUUGGUUCCAGCUCUGGAAGGGGACAGAAACCCCAUAUAACCCCACAGAGCAUCAGCUCCGAGCUGUAUCCAUGUGCUCCUUCAGAUGGAGCUCUCAGAAGGGACUAAACUACAGCAACCACCAGGCUGACCUCGGAGUGGUUUUGACUGGUGAUCACUCAUGAGCCUUGGUUGUUAGCCCUUCAGGAAGCCAAGGGGUACAUGAUUCAUGACUGGGCUCCUGUGGGGUCAGGAUUUGUGGAGGGACAUUCAGGUUUGUCUGGAAGAACCUGAGGCCAUCCUCUGUUUUCCACAUCCCAGCUCAUGAGGCACUGAUACCCCCUGGCAGUCAGGAAGCUGAUGCCCUAGAUUGGAUCUGAGCCCUAGCAACAGACACUUCCAUAGAUACAGCAGAUUGGGUACCUGGGCCACUGCAGUGCCUAGGUUGGGACAGUGUGUUAUCCAGGAUGCUGGAUUGACCUUGGAAUACAGUGACUUGGUUGAUGCAAUAACAGUAUGUCCUGUGAGUUCUAAACAACACCCAAGGCAAUUGCCAAAAUAGUCUGGGCCUUCCACUGGAGUUCCAACUGGUAAGGGAUUGGCAAGUUGAUUAUACUGGCCUCCUCCCUCUGAGUGAGGGUUCUAAAUAACACACCCUCAGGGAUCAAACCCUGCCACAGUAUUGACCUGAGUGGCUACAGUGACAGUGCCAGGUCCUUCACCUGCUGAGCCACAAGGAAACUCCGAUAUAAGCUUUUAAGAUUUGGCAGGUGAAUGCAGAAAAACCAUUUAUCUUGUGGGCAGCCCAAGACAAGCCUGGUUAGUAAGUUCCCUUGCUCAGUAAAACUGUCACCCCCCAAUCUAGAGUGGUCUGCCUAUUCCUUCAGUCUCUCUGUGCCCUGUGUGUUUUUGAACCAAAAAGAAACAAGUCUAUUGCAUUUAGGUUAUCAAAUCUGUGGGCAUAGAGUUGUACACAGUAUUCAUUUAUUAUCUUUUUAAUGUCCAAGAGAUCUGUAGUGAUGUCUCCUUUUUCAUUUCUGAUAUUAGUAAUCAGUGUCCAUUCUCUUUUUUUCUUAGCCUGGCUAGGGCUUACUGAUUUUAUUGUCUUUUCAAAGAACUAGUUUUUGGUUACAUUGAUUUUGACUGGUUUCCUGUUUUCAAUUUCAUUGAUCUCUGCUCUAAUUCUUAGUACUUCUUUUCUUCUGCUUACUUUCAAUUUUAUUUGUUCUUGGAGUUCUCCUAUGGCUCAGCGGGUUAAGGAUCCGGCAUUGUCACUUGUAUAGCUUAGGUUGCUGCUGUGGUGCGGGUUUGAUCCCUGGCCUGGGAACUUCCACAUGCUACAAGCAUGGCCAAAAAAAUUUCUUUUUGCUCUUCUUUUUCUGGUUUCCUAAGGCGGAAACUUAGAUGAUUGAUUUUAGAUCUUCUUUUAUAUAUGCAUUCAAUAUAAUACAUUUCCCUCUAAGCACUGCUAUCAUUGCAUACCAUAAAUUGAUAAAUUGUGUUUUCAUUUUAUUUCAAAAUAUUUUAAAAUUUCUCUUGAGAUUUCUUCUUCGAUUUUUUUUUUUUUUUUUGCCUUUUCUAGGGCUGCUUUCCGUGGCAUAUGGAGGUUCCCAGGCUAGGGGUCUAAUUGGACCCGUAGCCACCAGCAUACGCUAGAGCCAUAGCACCGAGGAAUCCGAGCCGAAUCUGCAACUUACACCACAGCUCACGGCAAUGCCGGAUCCUUAA